rnacentral:rRNA from 1 species
GCGCAGCAGGCGCGAAAACUUCACAAUGUGCGAAAGCACGAUGAGGGAAUCCCAAGUGCUUGCACGUAAGUGUAAGCUGUUUCUCUGUCUAAAACGCAGAGAGAGUAAGGGCUGGGUAAGACGGGUGCCAGCCGCCGCGGUAAUACCUGCAGCUCGAGUGGUGACCGUUAUUAUUGGGCCUAAAACGUCCGUAGCCGGUUUAAUAAAUGCCUGGGUAAAUCGGACCGCUUAACGGUUCGAAUUCCGGGUAGACUGUUAAACUUGAGACCGGGAGAAGUUAGAGGUACUCCUGGGGUAGAGGUGAAAUUCUGUAAUCCUAGGGGGACCACCAGUGGCGAAGGCGUCUAACUAGAACGGGUCUGACGGUGAGGGACGAAGCCCUGGGGCGCAAAAC